rnacentral:rRNA from 1 species
AUUGAACGCUGGCGGCAUGCCUUACACAUGCAAGUCGAACGGUAACGGGUCCUUCGGGAUGCCGACGAGUGGCGAACGGGUGAGUAAUAUAUCGGAACGUGCCCAGUAGUGGGGGACAACUGCUCGAAAGAGCAGCUAAUACCGCAUACGACCUGAGGGUGAAAGGGGGGGAUCGCAGGACCUCUCGCUAUUGGAGCGGCCGAUAUCAGAUUAGCUAGUUGGUGGGGUAAAGGCCUACCAAGGCAACGAUCUGUGGUUGGUCUGAGAGGACGACAAGCCACACUGGGACUGAGACACGGCCCAGACUCCUACGGGAGGCAGCAGUGGGGAAUUUUGGACAAUGGGCGCAAGCCUGAUCCAGCAAUGCCGCGUGCAGGAUGAAGGCCUUCGGGUUGUAAACUGCUUUUGUACGGAACGAAAAGCCCCGGGUUAAUACCCUGGGGUCAUGACGGUACCGUAAGAAUAAGCACCGGCUAACUACGUGCCAGCCGCCGCCGUAA